rnacentral:lncRNA from 1 species
AGUACAGGUUGUUAUUAUCCAAGAAUUGUUGAUAGAGUAUAUACUGUAUUUGAAGUGUAGAACUGAGGCAGAGGCUGAUUCAUAUAACUAGUUUACAUUUGUUAGCCUUUCACAUCUGUGAAGGAAUAAAGUACAGACAAAAGUGGAAAACAAACCAGGAAAAAAAAAUUGUGAAGCACAGAGCUGCUUAAAAGAAAAAAGUCACAGAAAUAAGUCAGUAUUUUGUUUAGAGACUAGAACUCCAACUGCUAGCCAACUGCCUAGAAUAUAGUAAAUAUUUUCUAGUUUCUUAAAUGACUAGUAAUAUUCCUACAUUAUGUGAUGGCAUUUCCCAAACUGUUUAAUUAGAUGUUAGAUUUGUAGCCAAAUAUGUCUAGGAAAUGCUUAAACAAUAUAAAACGGUUUUAAUGAUUGGCUUUUUAGAACGUUAUAUAUUAGUGUGCUUUAUGCAUAUCCAAGAGGUGAGUGAGGUAUUUGGGGUUUUUCAGACUUACUUGAUUACAGAUCUGGAGUAUCUCAAAACAGUUGUUUUGUGGAAAACACUCUGGCAAACUCUGAGUCUUAGUCAUUAAAAAUAGUUUUUGGGUAAACAACAGUGUAAUAGAGAUGGAAAUUACUGAUUCACAUUGAGCCAUGAAGAAUUUAUUUUCAGCAAUUUUUAUAGAAGUUGCUUUAUGACAAAGAAAGCUUUGGUUAACUGGCAUUUGGCAUUUCAUACCCCUAAAUUUUCUACAUGAGGAUUUAUUUCUCUGGUUCUCUCACUUUCUCACUCAGUUAUACUGAAUUCAUUUAUGAUGAGCGCUCUCAACCAUUCUUAUUCAUCAAAGCCCUGAAGUUGGCAGAGCCCUCUCUGGUACCUGAUUAGAAGUCCGUCUUCCAUCUCAUAGGGAAGUGUUAGAGAUGGAUAAUGUUUCUGUGUAGCAGAAGUAGUCAUUAUGUCCCCUUAAAUUCGGUCACUUUGACUGCAGUAGAGCUUCUUAGUGAGCAGUCUGUGAUGGAGUAUACUUUCGGAGAAGCUCAUGGUGGGGGAAAUCUGGAAUUUAUCUAAAUAUUUCAUUUCUUUGAUAAAUUACAUUAAAAAAUUAAUGAGAGUAUCUAUUUGGUGAAAUCAUUUUCCUCCACGUGACCAAAUGAGAAAUUUAGUGAAAGAUUUAAAAUCAUUUUUCAGACUUUUUCCACAUUAGUCGGGAAGCAAACCCCUUUUUUAAGGCAAUGUCAGUUAUUAAGCUUUAGGGAACCACAUGCCACUUUAGGUAACACGUGAUUGGAGAGAUUGAAGAGUGAAGUCCCUGCUUUAAAGUGUACUCCUGUGGACACAGUAAUACAUAUAUUUAAAAUGGUUCAUGUUAAGAGUAGGUAUAUUUCUAUCUAAAUACUCUGUAGCUUUUGUGAUUCAGGGAAAUGAGUGGAGCCUCACAGGCACAAGAAUCUAGUAAAUUCUAGGUUUCUUGUGUGGAAAUCAGUGGGCAAAAUCUUAACUGAGUGAAUUCUUGAUUAUUGGUAUCACAUUUGUUAGUCUGUAUGUAUCUGUGUCAUCGAUCUCCUUAAGAAGAGACUCGUAGAUAUUGACUGGGAGACCCAAGCUGAAUGCUAAAAUCUGCUCCAUGGAUAUAAGCUGAUGCAGUCAUCAUUUCACAUUAAAAUGUACCACAGCUAUAUAUGCAGCAAAAAAAAAAAAGAAGUUAGUCCCUCCAGCUGAAAAGUGGUCAUUACUUUAUUAUCACCACAGAAUUUGAAAUGAUUUCUGUAGUUAACAGUCAGAUUUUAUUUUUACUUAACUAAGACAAAGUGAAUAAUUCACUGUGAGCCAAAUUCUUUCUUGAUUCCUCUUUUUGGAGCAGUCCAUCUUUAUGGGAAAACCAGCCUAGAAUGGUGAUUUCAGUUUCAGGUGAUUUCGAUAGAAUUGUAUUUGGCUCAGAAAUGAUAAGACUGGGGCCAAGAAAAAUUUUAAACUUUUUUUUUUGUAAUCAUAUUACUAGUUUGAUUUCAUAUGAACUUCCUUUGUUGACUUUCUUUGCCAUUAAUUUAAAAGUUCCAGUAUCCUCAAUAUUUGAUGUCUUAUAUGUACAGAAUCCUUUCCAGCUGUAAGUCAUCAGCAAGUAAAAAAUUUAGUAUGGCAAUAGUUUUCAUAAGAGGUUUUUUAAAACAGAAAAAUGUUGACAUUGCCAGCCUCUGGGUUGCAUUUUGGGAUAUGCUACAUUUCAAAGGUAUCUUUUAAAUCUGAAGGCAAAGACUUUUUCAACAUCUGAAUAUUCUGAUUUACAGAAAUUAAAAAAAAAAACCCCGGAACAUUACACGGGCAUAUAAAUUUGAAUCAGGAAAAUAUAAAAUUAGCUGAUUAUUUUUAUUCAGUAAAAGUGCCUUGGCACAGAACUAAAAUUGAUAACUUAUGGUUUUAGCAUGUAGAUAAGUACAUGAGAGUAAAUCACAUUUCUAUAUGAAUAGAAAUAUCCACUUUAUUCAUGUAUAGAUUAUAAAACUAUACUAAACAAAAAGUAAUCAUUUACUAUUACAAAAAUUAUUAAGAACCAUUACAAAAAUUCUCUGCCUACUAAUUUUCAAUCACCAUAGAAAUACAGUAUUUAAUAAUGCUGCUGCUGUACUUACAUAAAACAUAUUAAGAAUAGAUGUUAUAUUUCUGUGUUUGAAUAUUGAGCUUAAACAUAAAACAUGUUUGAAAUGUGUUUGUGUGUGUCUCUCACACACACACAUAACAUGUACAUACCUGAAACUCAUACUGCAAUUGCAACACAUCUUAAGUUUUUCCUUUUAAACAUACCAAGAUAACAUUCUAAAAUGAAGAAUAAUAUCUAUGUCUCUCUUCCUACUACAUACUAUCUCUCUAUUUAUAUGCAAUUGCUAUAAACAUAUCUUCAUAUUUGAUAUAUAUAGGUACAUAUAUAUGGAUAGAUAAAUAUAGAUAUAUGAGAGAGAAAUGGAGAUUAGAGAUCUAUGUUUGCCAUAAAUCAUACUUGUUAACAUAAACCAUCUGAUUAAACUGAUAUUUUGUGGCCCAAGACCUGAGACAUGCAAAACUAUUCUUAGCAGAUAGAAUUUUCUAAAAGCUGAGAGCUCAUUCUCCAGGAGCUGGCCAAGGACCAGUCCUAAAGGCAGACCUUUCUUGGAAAUGUACAGAGUCUGGGCAAACAAGACCUGCUGAGUUAACCCUUUCCUAUACAUAUGCAGACGGUAUUCAGCACAGGGCCUGACAGAAGGCAGUGUUUGUUAUUAUUAUUCAUAGCAUUAGCCCAUUUCUUGUUGUGAGCAACAUGAACAAGGAGACUAAGGGGAAAAAAUGCCCUUUUUUAGGGUGACCACCCUAACUGAUUUGAAAGUCUACAAUUUUUUCAGUUUAAAAUGGUAUUUAUUUGUAACAUGUACUAUUAUUGAAUAACAAUUUCUAAUAAAAAAACUACGCUAGUUUUCUGCCUAUGGAGAAGCCACCUUUUUAUUCUUUUACUUUCUUAAUAAGCUUGCUUUCACUUAAAAAAAAAUCUACCCUACAUAUACACAAAAGUUAAAAAGCAGCAAUAGUGUACAUUGGUCAGUAUAAAUGCAUGCAGUUUUCUUUUCUUCAGUGUACAAAGUCCAAGUCUAAACCUUUAUAAUUUUUAGAGUCUAGCGAUUCUCCAGACUCCAUACUUUUCGUUGUUAUCAGAUGCCAGCGUUAAUUGCCUUUCCUUUCUUCUGUUUUGGGUUCCUGAUCUUCAUCUGUGUCUUUAAAACAGAUUAUUUUCUUUAGAUUUGAAAGGUUGGGUUUUUGUCUUCAUUUCUUAUUUGUUUAGCCUUGUAUUUCCCUUUCUUUAAUUGAAUUGUGUUAUUGAAAAUUAAAUAAUUUAUCUGUGAAGUCAAAAAUCCUGUUUCAGGGUGGGCUCUAGAGCCUUCCUCUUGGGCCAUAUCCUUAGAAAGCCUGUGUGUAUUCUGAUACAUUUGGCAAUUUCUACUGGCUUUUCUUGUAUUGUCUGACCCCUUUUUAUUUCAGCGGUGCAUCCUGGUCUUACCCAACAGGCAAGUGGUGACUCCAGUGCAGGUGACGCAGAGGUGACACUAGAAUGAAGUGAAAUAUUCUGUUGAGGGCUAAGUUCAUGUUUUUGCUGACAGUGGUGGAUAAAUGUCAUGGCUUCCCCCUGCAUAGUGCUUAGGACAUUUCUUUUGAUAUGUGUUUUAGAGAAAACAUAAAACUUGUAAUCAGGAAAAUGCAAUAACGGAAGAAAUGCUUACUUGAGUAACUAAUGUGAGUUAGGCAAAGAAGAUACAAAUACUUCCCAUUUCCUACUUCUAAAUUACAGUCAAAUUGUCCUAAGCAAAUCUCUCAUUGUCUCCAUGUAAAAGAUAUAGAGAAGCCAUUAGAAAAAGGUGGCUGGAACAACUUUAUACAUACAGCCUGAAUGAACUGCCUCAUCAUUUAUAUGUUUGAGGAAAGUGUCUGUUUGAUAAUUUAAAUUAAGUUUAAACUGUCAUAAACGGAGAGCUGUACAGAUUCUGUGGGAGAGGAUACUGGGGUACCAGAUACUCAUUACUAGGCUCUCCACUCUGCCUUCUUCAAUACUCUGGAUCGGUGCCCUUUAUUCAUUUUUUUCACAACUUCCUCCCCUUUGCUCACAUUCUUUACAAGCUUCCAGGAUUUUUUAAUUUUAUUUUAUUUCUUUCCACAAUGACUCUCAUGGCUGUUGCUAUAGUUGCUAUAAAAGGCAAGGUGGGGAACAGACAGGUGAAUGAGCACAGAGGUCAUUUGUAAACCGUUUGUGGUUAGUGCUCCUCUGUUUACUGUCUGUCUGUCUCUCUCAGUGUCUCUGGGUAUGUGUCUGUUUACAACAUAAAAUAUAUGCACACAAAUCUCCAAUUUUUCUAGAGUAACUAUUAACACAGUUAAAAUCUGGAAGAACUCUAUCUUUUAAAGGAAAUACCAAUUAGCAAAUAAAAGAGUUGAUUCCCCCCAACUCUCAUUCCCCAGAGCUUGCUUAAGUGUAUGGUUUGCACACAUUCCCUAAAUAAAAACAUUGCUGGCUCAUAACUAUGCUUCACUUUCAUAAGCCUUCCAAAUGUUAGUAACUUAGCCUUCUCCUUUUGAAGGGUUAGUCUGUAAGUGAUACUGGAAGCCAUGUGGUAAGAAAGAGGACAGAAGUAUAAAAUCAGACUCAGAAAGUAAAAUCUGGCAUAUUUGGCAUAGAUCCAUUCAGCUUCGUAUACUUUGUUAGGACCCGAGGGCAUGCCUGAUUUUCAUAAAAUCGAUGCACUGUUAUUAAAACAAACAGGUGAAAAUCACUUUUGUUAAACUACUUGACAAGGCAUCUGACUACCUUAAGUGUGUUAUAAAUUUUGCAAGUGGUUAAAAUUUUAUGCUUAUGAAUUCAAAAGAUAGACUUUAGUUAAAUUAAAAACUAAUUUAUGUAGAUAUUUUCCCUAAUAAUAUAGCACAAAUGGGUUUUAUUUCCAACUGAAAAGAGUAUUUAUUACCAUGGAUAUAACUAGAAGAAUCAUAUAAAUAUAUGUAAUUCCAUUAGAAAAUAUUUUUCUUAAAAUUUGAAAUGACAAGAACUUAAUGAAUCUUAAAUAUCUCUUGUUUUAUUUUGAAAAAUUGUUUUCAUAAGAUACAAUUGAGCAAUUGAGAUUUGUUCUCCCAGUAUCUGAAGAUUUUUUUGGUCUUGUUUUGUUUUUUGGGUUUUUGGCCCUAAAAUUAGGUGAAUUCAGCUUUGGGUCUAUUUCAUCCAUUCUGGAAGGUUCCCUGGGUCACUGAUCUGAGGCAUUCUUGAUGUGGUUAGGACUUCCCAGCAUUAUUUUUUUUAGAUCCUGUUUAUUUAAAAUGAAAAGGAUUAGCAUGAGGGAUGGUAACAUUCCUUUUUGAUAUCUGUAGCAGCAAGUUUUCUUAUGAUUCAUUAUUCUUCUUCUUACAGCUUUAAAUCAUCUAGGAACUUCAUAUAAAAUUUAAUUCCAGUUUCAACUAGUUGUGGAGCAUUUGAUCCAAAAUAAAAUGAAAGUCCUCUCUGAAGCUGUAGAGGAGGCUCAAGAAUCAGAACAACCUGAAGUUCUUUAAGCUGUCAGUUGAAGGACUAGGGCCCGCCUGGCAGGACGACUGAGCAAGUUCUUGGAAAACCAGAGAUAUUAGAGCGGUGAAUCGCGCUGGUCACGUUGGACACCUGCGCGUUAGGAGAUUCUGGAGCCAGAGGGAGAGACCCCAGAAACGCCCCGGUCGGCGACCCAGCCCGAGACGCCUGGGGUCCCAAGGGAAGCUGAACGCCCGGUGGGCUCCCGGGAUGGUUCUUCCGGUUCUUUGUGCCGCCUUCACCCAGUGAAGGAGCCUGUAUCCACCCUGCCCAGUCGCUGUUGGGCUGCUGCGGAGCUUCCGCUGCCAUCUUCGGAUCCUGUGUUCCGCCCGGGGCUCCACCAGGGCAGGGAUGGUGGAUACAUGAUCCCUUAAUUCAGGCUCAGGCUGAAGAACUGACCCACUUACAACAGAAGAUACAGGAAGGGAGAGGUGUCUGCUACCUUUUCACCCAGCAUGUGAAGAACACAGUCAAGUCUUUUGAGGGCCUUCUCAGGAACACUGACAUUGCCUACUACCAGAGACAGAGAUUCUGUGAGCAAAUGGUACAAGGAAGCCAGCUGACAGAGAUCCUUGUCAGAAAACUUGCCACAGAAAAUCACAAUGGUAAGAAAAAUGAAGACAGGCAAAAGCCACUGGCUCCCAGGUAACUCUACAUGAUGAAGGGGCUGAUAAUGGACUGACCAAAUCUAGAGAGAAUUCCAGAAGCAAGGACUCAAGAGGUUAAAGGUCCCAGAUCUAGAAAAAGCAGAAACUGCUGAUUGUUCCUUUUUUUGUUGACUGAUUAUACAAUGUGUCCUUUUAAAAAUGGUUCUCUGUUCUCUUUGCAGUUUUUGUAUUGGUUCCUAGUUCCUAGUAAUUUCUCACACUUAGUUAACC